UCGGUCUAACCCGCCAACCCGACCCGUCCGUGCCAUUUAUCACAUUUCCCCCAAAUUCCCCAAACCCUAGAGAAAUCAGAAACGGCGCUGGGGGGCUAUUCAUCGUCUUCCUCAGCCUUCAACUCGCCAUAACUCACCCGAGUUCACUCAAAAUGGUUCCCUCCUCCACGUCAUUUGAUUCCCAACGGUUUUUGUCAGAAGGAAUACGAAUAUUCCCUCAAAAUCGCACGACAUCUGUACUAUAGGAACGAUUUGUUGGAUGAAUGGGAGCCGACGAUAGAUGUAAAUCGAUCCACGCCAUCUAUGUGUCCCAAAAAUUGUUCAAAAAUUUGAAGGUUUUUUGAAUUUUGGGCAGAGGUUCGAGAUUUUUGAAGGCUAUAUAUAUGAGGUAAGUUCUAUGUGCUAGGUUAGAAGAAAAAUCAAAAAACAAUUGAAAAUAUCUUCAAAAAAAUUUGAGUCGAGUUUCUAGGGUUUGAAGUUAUUAUUUUCUUCAAGCCAUUUCUUUUGGUCUGCUUUAUUUUUUCUAGAAGAAUAUACAAAAUAAAUAUUUUGAGCUCAUCUUUGGUUGGAGUUCAUUUCAUUUUUUUGAAGAGAAAAACUGAAAAGGCUAUUGGAACAAAUAUCUUUUACCCUUGCUUCUUUUCCUGAUUUCUGGUUUUAAAAGAAAGUUUUGCAUUAAACUUCGAGUUAUAGUUUAUGUUUGGGUUCCGAACUUUUGGCAUUUAGGAUUUUCUGUCCAAUUUUCAGUUGAGAUUUGGAUUUAUUUGGCUGGUCUGUGAAGCUGCUGUUAUUAUCGUUGAAUCUCUUCUCCCAUCUCAAGAGCUUUGCUUGAUAUUUUCAGUUAUUUUUGCUAAUAGAACUCCUACUCGUAUGAAUGGAAAAUGAAUCAUGAAUUCUAUGAAAGUCAAGCAAUCUCCUGUGGACCUAAUGCACAAAUUUUCGGCAGUUCCUGAUUAUCAAAUUUUAUAUUGAAAAUGAGCAUUUGUAAAUGUGACUGUUUCAAUUUGUAAAUUUGAGUAAAAUGAUACUACAAGUCAAUUGUCUCCCUGUAAUUGAAUUGGAGUGCCUGUAUUUGUACUAUUUUUGUUUCUUUUUGUGCCAAGAUAGUAGUGUUCAAUUUCAAGUUUGCCUUAAUGAAAGUGGCACCAGAAUGUUAGCUAAAACGAGGUUCACAACUAAGGUGUACACAAAGUUUUUCUUUUUUGUAAUAAGGAGAAACACAAUUAUACAUUUGAUAUAGAGGUUGCAAAUUUUUCUCUUAA